GACGAACCGUGCGAACGUUGUUCGGAAUCACUGGGCUUAAAGGGCGCGUAGGCGGGAUGGCAAGUCGGUCGUGAAAUCCUUCGGCUCAACCGAAGAACGUCGGCCGAUACUGCCGUUCUUGAGGGAUGCAGAGGAGAUUGGAAUUCCCGGUGUAGCGGUGAAAUGUGUAGAGAUCGGGAGGAACACCGGUGGCGAAGGCGGGUCUCUGGGCAUCUCCUGACGCUGAGGCGCGAAAGCGUGGGGAGCAAACGGG
rnacentral:rRNA from 1 species